AUUGAACGCUGGCGGCAGGCUUAACACACGCAAGUCGAGCGGGGGAAGGUAGCUUGCUACCGGACCUAGCGGCGGACGGGUGAGUAAUGCUUAGGAAUCUGCCUAUUAGUGGGGGACAACAUCUCGAAAGGGAUGCUAAUACCGCAUACGUCCUACGGGAGAAAGCAGGGGAUCUUCGGACCUUGCGCUAAUGGAUGAGCCUUAGUCGGAUUAGCUAGUUGGUGGGGUAAAGGCCUACCAAGGCGACGAUCUGUAGCGGGUCUGAGAGAAUGAUCCGCCACACUGGGACUGAGACACGGCCCAGACUCCUACGGGAGGCAGCAGUGGGGAAUAUUGGACAAUGGGGGGAACCCUGAUCCAGCCAUGCCGCGUGUGUGAAGAAGGCCUUAUGGUUGUAAAGCACUUUAAGCGAGGAGGAGGCUACUUUAGUUAAUACCUAGAGAUAGUGGACGUUACUCGCAGAAUAAGCACCGGCUAACUCUGUGCCAGCCGCCGCUGUAA
rnacentral:rRNA from 1 species